AUAUAUUUUUUAUGAAUGACGUCUUUAUUGCAGAAAGCAUGAAAUAUGUUUUAGCAACGAAUAUCUAUUUACUGUAUACAACCGUUCCCAAUGUGGAAUUGAAAAUCGUCCAAAAGAAAUAACCAACAAUGCUUUUAAUCAUAAAAAUGGUAGCAUACACUAACAAAUGUAUUACUUUGGGAUAUCAUACGGCAUAUAUUAUUGAAAGUAAACAAAAGGUAAAACAUUCUAUAUAGAGGAACACAUGAUCUGUAUGCUGAAGUUUCUUAUGGACAACAUAUUUGUUGAAUUUGGAGGUAGACUUUAACAACUGUGCGUCUCUCCUUAUCGACCUCUUCUUAGUACCCUAUUAGUCGGUGUUUUAAAUUCCUUCAUACACUUUUGACAAAAACAAGAAGAUCAAAGAAGCUGGAUCAGUUCAUUUCACGUUCAGAUAUAUUGAUGAUGAUCUUUCAAUUAACAGCCCAAACUUCGGUUCUAUAAAUAUAUCCUUCUAACUGAGCUAGAAAUAAAAGAAACAACUAAACCGGUUUCAUCUGUCACAUUUUGGACUUAAACCUCGAAUUUGACAUACGCGAUCAUCUCAGUACCAGAAUCUAUUACAAAUGAGAUGAUUUUAAUUUUAAAAUUAUCAACUUCCCCCACCUUAAUAUAUAUACCAACUUCACCUGCAUAUGAGAUAUACAUUUCACAACUUAUUCGGUAUGCAAUUCAAUGCAAGAGCUUGCAACUGCUACUUAGAUCUUGUGAAAUGUUGCAAGUGUCUGAGCAUAAAGUUGAUGAAAAAAAAAACAGUUGAAAAAGACGUAACUCGUCAGAUGGAUACAAAUAGAACUACAUCUAAAAAACAGAGUGGACGUGGCUGGGUAUUUGUACAUCCCAACAACAAAAAGACACUAAGCACAGAGUACACACAGUUACUGACCGCUAGUUCAAUGCCAGUAACAACAAAUAAACAAUAAUCCUGCAUCUAAGAUAGUUAUAAAUCAGUACAAAUCCACAUCCAAUGAAUUUUGUGUACAGGCGUCAUAAACAGUCAGAGAAAAAAAUCGACAGUUUGUAGAUCCAUGAAUCUGCAUAGGUAUAUAACAAUCAUGUUUAGUUUGCUUUUAAGUUACUGAUAAUAAAAUCAAUAUUAAUACCAAUAAAAACAAUAUGUAUACCAAUCAUUGAAAUAACAAAAUUCAAAGAUUUUUAAUUACAGUGUUGAAUAAGUAACCUUUUAGAAUAAGUUUAUUAAAAGAAUAAGUUUAUUAAAAGAAUAAGUUUAUUAAAAGAAUUGAUAAGUUUAGCCGGAUCGUAUCUACGUUUCCUGGCUCGGUUAGCAACAUCACCGUAAAAUUUCGGAUAUUUUUCACCAAUACAAAUUAAUCGCUUUAGUUAUGCCUUGUCCAUAUAAUUGAUUAGAUUUUGAAUGUACAGGUAAAAUCGAAACUAUUGACUAUUGCGUAUAUAAAAUAUGAUUGGCAACUGAUUAAGCUAAUAAUGAAAAUGAAAUAAUUAAGUCUCAAAAAUAAAUAAAUACAAUUGAAGUACUGAAUUUUCACAAUUCAACAAUUCAGAUUCUAGUUCGACUUCUGAGUGACCACUAUUCUGCUCAGGGCAAUACUGCAAGAGUCACAAAAUGGUGCCAGCCAACACGUGACCAUCUGCCCGAAACACCUCUGUAUGGCAUUACAGUUAAUAGAAAUGUUCCUGGCGCACGGUGUUGCACACCAUACAUGUGUGAACGUCAUUAUGGCAAAGUUGAAUCCCCAGCAAAUAGACAACAACCAUCCACAAAGUCCACUCAAUGCUGUAUAACAACAAUUUCUGCUGCAUGUAAAGCACUCNNNNNNNNNNNNNNNNNNNNNNNNNGG
rnacentral:lncRNA from 1 species